rnacentral:rRNA from 1 species
UACGAAGGGGGGCUAGCGUUGCUCGGAAUCACUGGGCGUAAAGCGCACGUAGGCGGAUCUUUAAGUCAGGGGUGAAAUCCCAAGGCUCAACCUUGGAACUGCCUUUGAUACUGGGGAUCUCGAGUCCGGAAGAGGUGAGUGGAACUGCGAGUGUAGAGGUGAAAUUCGUAGAUAUUCGCAAGAACACCAGUGGCGAAGGCGGCUCACUGGUCCGGUACUGACGCUGA